rnacentral:rRNA from 1 species
AGAGUUUGAUCCUGGCUCAGGAUGAACGCUAGCGACAGGCUUAACACAUGCAAGUCGAGGGGCAGCACGGUGUAGCAAUACACUGGUGGCGACCGGCGCACGGGUGAGUAACACGUGUGCAACCAACCCCGUACCGGGAGAUAACCCGCGGAAACGUGGACUAACAUCCCAUAAGACUCUAGAGCCGCAUGGCUCUGGAUUUAAAAUUCCGGUGGUACGGGACGGGCACGCGCGACAUUAGGUAGUUGGCGGGGUAACGGCCCACCAAGCCGACGAUGUCUAGGGGUUCUGAGAGGAAGGUCCCCCACACUGGAACUGAGACACGGUCCAGACUCCUACGGGAGGCAGCAGUGAGGAAUAUUGGUCAAUGGGCGAGAGCCUGAACCAGCCAAGUCGCGUGAGGGAAGAAUGGUCUAUGGCCUGUAAACCUCUUUUGUCAAGGAAGAAUAAAUCGCACGGGUGCGAUCUUGCCAGUACUUGACGAAUAAGCAUCGGCUAACUCCGUGCCAGCAGCCGCGGUAAUACGGGGGAUGCGAGCGUUAUCCGGAUUUAUUGGGUUUAAAGGGCGCGUAGGCGGGACGCCAAGUCAGCGGUAAAAGACUGCAGCUAAACUGUAGCACGCCGUUGAAACUGGCGACCUGGAGACGAGACGAGGGAGGCGGAACAAGUGAAGUAGCGGUGAAAUGCUUAGAUAUCACUUGGAACCCCGAUAGCGAAGGCAGCUUCCCAGGCUCGAUCUGACGCUGAUGCGCGAGAGCGUGGGUAGCGAACAGGAUUAGAUACCCUGGUAGUCCACGCCGUAAACGAUGCUCACCGGCCCUUAGCGAUAAGACAGUUAGGGGUUAAUUGAAAGAAUUAAGUGAGCCACCUGGGGAGUACGUCGGCAACGAUGAAACUCAAAGGAAUUGACGGGGGCCCGCACAAGCGGAGGAACAUGUG